GAUGAACGCUGGCGGCGUGCUUAACACAUGCAAGUCGAACGAUUAACCCAGACUUCGGUCUGGUUAUAGAGUGGCGAACGGGUGAGUAACACGUGACCAACCUGCCCCUUGGAUCGGGAUAACGCAAGGAAACCUGCGCUAAUACCGGAUACUCCGAAGCUUUCGCAUGAAGGCUUCGGGAAAGCUCCGGCGCCAAGGGAUGGGGUCGCGGCCUAUUAGGUAGUUGGUGGGGUAACGGCCUACCAAGCCGAUGAUAGGUAGCCGGGUUGAGAGACCGAUCGGCCACAUUGGGACUGAGAUACGGCCCAGACUCCUACGGGAGGCAGCAGUGGGGAAUUUUGCGCAAUGGGGGCAACCCUGACGCAGCAACGCCGCGUGCGGGAUGAAGGUCUUCGGAUUGUAAACCGCUUUCAGUAGGGAAUAUUAUGAAGGUACCUACAGAAGAAGCACCGGCUAAAUACGUGCCAGCAGCCGCGGUAAUACGUAUGGUGCGAGCGUUAUCCGGAAUCAUUGGGCGUAAAGCGCGCGUAGGCGGCUUGUUAAGCAGGAAUUCAAAUCUUGGGGCUCAACCUCAAGCCGGUUCCUGAACUGGCAGGCUCGAGUGCGGUAGAGGAAGGUGGAAUUCCCAGUGUAGCGGUGAAAUGCGCAGAUAUUGGGAAGAACACCGAUGGCGAAGGCAGCCUUCUGGGCCGCCACUGACGCUGAGGCGCGAAAGCUAGGGGAGCGAACAGGAUUAGAUACCCUGGUAGUCC
rnacentral:rRNA from 1 species